UUCCGGCUUCUCUCCUACAAAACAUACAGAGACCAAUCUCUUGUUUAUUUCUGUAUCAGAAGAGCUUGUUUAGUUGAGCAGAUUGAGCAGCCAUGUUGACUGCUAAUGCCGAUAUUGCUGAAGCUUACGUAUUGAGGAAACUCCAUAAAGAAAAGAUGAAGAAACCCGAAAAGAAGACACGUCGAGAAAACGCGUUAAAAGAAGAUGAUCAUGGUGCUGGAUCUGGUUGCUUCUCCAUUUUGUUCAAGAAAGUCCAUCCAUCUUCUAUGCCAGAAUCAGAUUCCUAACUUGACCGAGCUUCAUCUCUCUCAUAUUAUAUAUAUAUAUAUAUAUAUAUAUAUAUAU
rnacentral:lncRNA from 1 species